UUUGUGUAGUUAGAUAGUGGUUGUGCAAAUAUGGCUGUACUUGAUUAAUUAAUUAUUGUUAUUACUUGUUUAUUAGUGAUAAAGUGUGUGUUUUGGUUAAACAACAAUGAAUUAUCUUUGCUCGCGUAAUAAGUGAUCGUAUCGAUCAUAUAAUUAAUUGUUUAAUUCGAACUUAAACGAAACGAAAAGUGUAUAACGCGCGAUUCGAUAAAAUUUGCGGUAUGCCGAAAGGUAGGUGAUUGUCGGAUAUAUAACAAAAACAAAAAAAUAUUUCAAUUUAUUUGGGAAGUGAUUAAAUUCUUUAUAUAUUUUCCAAAAAUCAAAACAAAACAUAUAAAAUACUAAUAAGUGUCAAAUUUUUGAAAACUUAUUUCGUUUUCUAUAUUUUGAUGAAUAUUUUUUUAAUUUUUUUUAUUUAUUGGGUAUGCUGUUGCAGUGUUUAGUUGCUUUUGUCUAUUCUAGGUUGUUUCAAUACUUUCAGGAUUCCCAGGACGAGAUAUUUUUUUCGGAAAUUACAUAUAAAAAACAUCAAUAAUAUUAUUUAAAUUAAAAAAGUUAAAUUUAAUAAUAAUUACUUAAAAUAUUCAGUAAAUUAACUUUUUUUCAAAAUUAUUAUGUUUUCAACGGAAAGUAAAAUUUUUGAAAAUUGAAAUUUUAAAGAAAUUUUUACAAAACAGUUAGGACAUUGUGGACAUAAUUUAUUUGAGAAUUAUUCAAAUAAACGAAUUUUAGUGAAAGUAAUAAAAACAAUUUUUUUGUUAAAAUCAUUAGGGAUAAUCGGGAUUUGCAUUUAAAAUUCAUUUUUUAAUCCUUCAAUAAAUUUAAUUAAAUCAAUUUUUUUGUUCCAAAAGUACAAAAUCUAUUUGAGAAUAUUUAGUUGACAUUUUUUUUGAAAAUUUUUUGGUUUUUAAAUCAAAUUAAUUUCCGAAUUUUUCAUUAAUUUUCAUCAAACACUGAUAAAAUUUGGUUUAAUUAUUGUAGAAAUAUAUAAUCAAAAUGGAAAUAACAUUUAUGAGUGAUUCAAAAUUAACUCUACACAUGUUUAAUUUUUUUUGAAAAUAUUCAGGAAGUAGAAGAAUUUUUGAAAUUUUCUCUGAUAUAUUUCGAGUUUCCAAAUAAAUUUGUUAAAAAGAUUAAUUAAUUAUAAAAUGAAAUUAUUAUGAACUUCAGGUGCAAUAAUAUACGUAAAUUUGCAUGUACUAAAAUGAGGAGGAGGAGGAGAAGAGGAACUUGUAUUUUUUUCUAGGUACAACGGAGAUUUGGCAGUCCAUGAUCGUUGAUUUUUUUCUAUAUUUAUGUGUGUCUGAUUGAUAUGAUAAAAUGAGAUCACGUGGUUAUCCCUAGGUACAAUAAGGACUCGUAGUUUUUAGAAAAUCUCCUUCAACGUUUCAUCAUUUCAAUAAUUUUUCGCAUAUUUUUAGGGUACUCGGUUUAACAAGUUUUACUAAAAAUUAGAUACGCGUUCAAAAAAUUAUUUUUUUUUUCUAAAUUUGAUCAAAAUUAGAUAUUUAAACUGCUCUCUCUUUCAAAAAGUUUUGUUGAUAUCAAUAGAGUUAGAGGCGCUCUAAAGUAUCAUCAAACCGUUAUUUAAUGACAUCGUCUUUUGAGAUCAGGGAGUAGGCAGAUUGAGGCUCUGACACCUCAAUUAGACUUUGAUUCGGGGAGUUAGUACUUGAAGUUUUUUUAACCAAACAAAUUAUUUUUAAUAGAAACAUCAAAUUUAUUCAGCUUUUCACUUUUUUAUAAGUUUUUCGUAAUUAUUUAUCAUGAUUUUAUGUCUUAAUUCCGUGAAAAUCUAAUUUUUCAGUUACUUGUAGACUCGAUUAUCAUUCAAAUGACUUUCUGAGUAAUCUGUUGAGAUUUUCUUUAACUAUGAGGACGAGGCUGUUGGGUUAAGCUAAUUUUUUUCGGAAAAUUAGUUCCCUAGAAACGACAAGUACAGGCUUGAGGUUACUCUAACGUAGUGGACUAACAAGUCUGUGCUAUGGGGAUGAUUGUGUGACGUAUGCCUUAAUGUAAGUGAUAAAUGUGGUACGGCAAACCGCCGCGAAGUGGAAAGUGAUUCGUAAUUUUCGGUUUCGGUGUGUCGCGAAUCGGUUUCAAAGUGAUAGUGAUGGAAAAUGGAAAUGGAAAGUCUCCUCUGCGCAUGAUAAUAUAUGGCGGAGAGAUUACAACAAGGUAAGAUUGAUUUUCACUUACAUCGACAUAAAAGCUUGUGAUGGUUUUUUGGCCGAAAUGUCGUUAUAAAUCCUUAAUACGAAUCAUCAGAAUUAUAAAAUUUACAAAAUUCUUCUUCGAAUAUCU